rnacentral:lncRNA from 1 species
UCAUUAUUUAUCAGCAAUCUGUGUCAUUACAUUAAUGGAUCAUUUGUUUGUUUUACACUGAGAUCCAGGGAGCAUUAUUGAGGACAGGGCAGGGAAAUAGCACGAGAAGGAAAAACCUGAACUGAAAGGGAGGUUGUUAAGGGACACCAAAGGCAUAUGUGGAUGUCUGGCACAUAACAUGAGGAUAUUGGCUGCCUAGAGAUUAGGAAAGUGAGUAUGUCAGAAAAUGAAGAAGCAUAAAGAGGUAGGGUAAACCUUGAAUAAUUAUUUUGUUAAUCUUGCAAAUGCAACUAAUUGGUUAGCCCAUUCUCUGUGUAUCAUUUAUCAUGUAUCUGUAUCAAUAAAAUAAAAAUAUAACAAAAAUUGAACACACUAAAUUUAUAUAUAUAUACCUUAUAAAUAGGUGUAUAUAAUAUUUUAAUAAAUGUCAUUUGUUGUCUAAAGCAUAUGCAAAAAUAAAAAUUUAAAAGAUGAGAUUAAAUUAAAAAGUAUGUUUCUUAAUGUUUUUUAUCUACUCCCUAGUAUAUCUAUUUGCUUAUCCCCUUGUGAAUACUUUGAAAUCCACUGGCUUAGGGGAUGGCUAAGCCAAACAGACGAGAGUUUAAAAUCCUAUCUUUGACCCUUUCAGCAGUGUGUUCUUGAAAAGAUACAUAACCUCUUGUUUUUCAAAAAGUUAUUUUUUAAGGGUGGGGGUUAAUAAUAGUACCCAUGUUAGAAUACCUGAAAGAUUAAAGGAGAUGCCCACAUAAACUGCUUAGCACAUGUUUUUUUCAGUACUAGUGCCUAGUGAAGUCUCCUUAUUAUAUUGCUGCAAGAGUCCUGUGUGCCUCUGAAACAUCUCUGGAACGUUGGCAGUGGCUAUAAAUAUGCAUAAAAAGAAUAUAGUUGCAGGAGUAGAGAUCACCUUCACCUUUUCAAGUGAUGUACACGCCACCAACACCACCACAAGGCCACUGAGAUUUUAACAGAAGGGGAAGAAAAAGCAAGUCCUGUCAGAUUUCCUGUUCUAUUUUUCUAACUCAUAAUUAGUAGAGAUGAAACCUGUAUAAUUUAUUUGCAUUGUUUUACUGCCUGACAUUAUAUUAAGUUCCUUUUCUGUUAAUUUAUUAUUUGCCACCAAUCCCUGCGGAACCCUUAGGAUACACUUCAAAAUGAAAUAUUUUUCAUCCUUAUUAAAAUAUUUUAAUGAAUUCAAAUCCUGAAAGUGCUUGAUGAUGACCAGCAGCAUUAUCUUAUAUACAAGGAAAAAAAGUUCUUAGAGGACAUAACACUGUGACAAAUAAGCAGCAGAAAUGAUACCUAAGUCACAUAUUUUAAAGGAUAUUAUCAUAACAUAGGGAAAUAUGACAAAUAGUGAAUAAAUGCCUGUUACUCAAAAAAUUAUUUUCUUUAUCUCUUAUAUUUACAUACAAACUCAUAUAAGCCUAUUUUUAAAAAUAAAUGUUCUUUUAUUUUGUCUUAAGGGAGAAUAUUGCACUUUCAGCUCUCUCCAGAGUCUGUUUUUAAUUAACACCAAAUAUUAUGUUUGCUAAAUCCAUAUUAUGAACAACACAAAUUUGUAUUUCCAUUUACUCUAAUAUGGAAUUCCAUAAAAAGUAAAGGUUUUAUAGAGGGCUUACAUUAUUCCCUUACUGCUAUCACAAAUAAAAUAUAGAAAGUCUUAAUAACUAUUACAGAAUUUAGUUCAAAUGUGGCCAAGAUGUAGAGAUCAGUCUUCAGAGGGGAAAGACAGACAACUAUAAGAGAGCCAUUUCUGGCUUCCCCAAUGAGGGACUUUUCCCUUUAAGAUUGCUUCUAAUCUCUCUCUUCACCUUUAUUCACUUCUCCUACUGGCAUAUUUGGGACAUCCAGGCUCAGCCCGACACUGUUUUCCUCUUCAAUACUAUUUCCUCCAGCAGCAACUACUCCCAUUUGGGCUUGUCUGAUUCUGAGGUUCUUUGUUAGGAAGUUCAUUUAUCUCUUACUGAAACCCAAAAUCUCCAACAUCCACCAUGUAAAAGGUGGUAUUCUGUCUUCUCUUUUCUCUUCUGAAUUUUUCAAAAAUUAGGAUUAAAGUGUGAUCUAUUAUCAGCUUCCCUGGAAAGAGUAAAAACUGUACAGAUAGAGUGAGAUUGAUGGUGCCCUGGAGGCAAGAGAGGAUAUUGCAGAACAUUGGGUUACAGGCUCAAGCCAGUAGAGGUCCACAUGAUCACCUGCAUCAGUAAGGUUGAAGCAGACAUUAAGAAUCCAACCACAGGAGUUCCUGCUGUGGCACAGUGGGUUAAGAAUCCGACUGCAGCAGCUUGGGUUGCUAUGGAGGCACAGGUUCUAACCGCUCGGUGGUUAAAGGAUCCUGAAUUGCUGCAACUGCAGCCUAGGUCACAGCUGUGACUCAGAUUCAGUUCCUGGCCUGGGAACUUCCAUAUGCCACCAUGGGUGCAGCCAUUAAAAAAAAAAAAAAAAAAAAAAAAAAAAAAAAAAAAAAUCCAACCAUACCACACUCCUUAGAGUUCUUGCACAGAUCUUUGUUCCUGUAAAAACUGGUAAGUCAAACUUAGGAUCUAAUACAAGAAAUGAGACCAAGGGAAAAAGAGGAAAGCAAGAUAAGGAAUAAUAAUGCAUGGCAGGAUCUUGGGGACAAUAAAUUUAUGGCACUUGUUACUGGCUGGAGAAUUAGUAUAUUAUGUUGGAUUGGAUCAGCAAAAAGGUUGAAAACACCAUUAGCACAAUGACUAUUUCAGUGUGACUGUCAACACUCCCACCAACACUAAUACUUAUUGAAUAGUUACUAUACAUCAAGCAGUAGGUUAAGAAUUUAAUCCAUUUAUAUUCAAUUCUUUUAGCACAGUAAGAAAUAGGUACUUAAUUCCUAGCCAUCCCCAAGUCAGGGCAGAGCUAGCUGAGAAUCCAGAAUAUUGUUAAAGGUUAAAGAAUUAUAAUGGAGACUCAUUAUAGGUAUAGGCCUUUGUGCACCACAUGGAUAGCGGCCUUUGUGAACUGUAGAACUAUACAUCCUAAAGUGAGGAGAAAUCUCAUGUGAUCUGCUGAUUUACUCUCUGAUCUUCAGACAUUAUUCCUAUUUUGCAGAGAAAGAAUCUGAGGUGCAGGGAGGUUAAGUGACUUGUUAAAGAUCAUACAGUUAUAAUGAUAGAAAACUGUAAAAUAACUCCUUAUCAAGUCUUAGGAACCUGUUGAUAACAUUUUGAGAAACUGCUGUUUGAAAAUCCAAAUUAAUCUUUCCUAGAAUGCCCACUAUUCAUAGUGUUUCUCUUUCCCCCAUGGGAAUACAGAUACUUGAAGUUUGCUGCUUAAAAUAACUAUCUUCUACCUUCUAAUCUAUACACACCUUCUUCAGCAUGACUGCUGGAUUCUAUUUGCUGUCCAGGUUGCCCUGUGAGUUGCUAACUCCUGUGGCUUUGCUCUAGAAGCCUCUCUGUGAGCUGAAAUCUCCAUCUACACAAUUUCACUGCUCAUAAAGACAUGUAGCAAGGAGAGCACAAAAGAAGCCAAUUUAUCCAUUUUUAUAUAUCUGGAAUACAUGUGGAGGCAAAAUUGGUGGUUUGCCUCAGCUCUCCCUGCUAAGAUAAUUUGGGGUGAUAUUGCAACUAAACGUUAUGUUUAAACCAUGCCAGUCACGCUGUGCAUUUUAAAAACCACAUUAGAGAGUGCAUUACCUUUCUAACAUAUCUGAGCAUAUGAGUAAAUUUCAAAGCAGAAUAACUUCCAUGAAUAGAAAAUUAUCUCACCCUUAAUUUCAUAUUGCUAUUCAAAGCCUAUAGAGAAUCUUCAUUUGUCUUACCUUAUUUCUACAUUGAUAUGAUUUUCACUAAUGGUAAAAUUGUUCAAAUGGUUGGAUUUGUUUAAAAAAUUGUUUGUAUUGUAUUGGCUCUCUUGUACUCAUGUAUAAACAUACUAAUACACUUUCUCUCAACCCCUAAAGUGUAUAACCUUGAACUCUGUUUCUAAGUCUCCUUUUUUUCCUUUAAAAUUAAAUAUAUUAUCAAAUUUUGGAUAUCUCCAUUCAUUAAAAAGGUCUAGAUUUUCUCCUGUGUGUGUGGCAGUGGUGGUGGCAUUUUUCCCCCCAUUUUCUUAACAGAAUUACAAACCUAAGUCCAAAUCUUACUUCUUACCUGAACUACUGUGACAGGUUUAUUGGCUCUUUUUACUGUAACUCUGCCUUCUCCCACUACCAGUUAAGCAAAGCAAAAAUACCAGCAUUAUCAAUCACCGAAUGCGUAUAUGGUAAUGGUUGAUAUUUUCAUCCUUUUACUUCACUAUUUUAUAAAAUCUAUUCUCUGUUACUAAUUGUGUCAAGUCCAAAUCCAUUAACUUCAUAAUUAAUAAGUGGCAGAUUUUCAGACUCUCAUAGACCAUGUGAUCUUUCUUGAUAGAUGGAAGGCUGUUUUAGAGGUUUAUUUUCUACUUUGAAUAAAUUCUAGCUCUUAGUCUUUGGUUGUGCCAUAUCUUUCCUGAUUUAGAAAAUGCCCUGCGAUGGCAGACAUUACCAUUCACUCUGUUAUACAGUUCCCCCAGACACACAAAUAGUUGUACUUUUCUGCCCCUUAAAGUUAAGUGGGACCAUGUGAGUAGCCAUAUAGGUGUAGACCAAAUUUUGGACUGAGGCAUUUCACAUCAGGUGCUGCAUCCUAUAGCCUUGUUCCCCAUUCCAUGGUGAUCAUGGAAACACACAAAAUAAGCCCUUCAUCUACCUGAAAUAGUAAGUUCCCAACAUGUACGUGUUGAGCAGAUAGGAUAAGCUAGUAAUGGUGAUCUGUUGUUUUAAGCCACUAAAAUUUGAUCAUUAUUCUUGGUUGCAUCAUAUCUAACCUCUUGUGAGAUUUAUAUAUAUAAAACAAUCAUUUAAAAUGUGUCACAGAAUUCAAAACCAGGAAGUGGUUCUUUGCUACUUACUAAUCCCAUCUUUUUCUUUUCAACAUUUCAUAUUUACCUUGUUCUUUAUAAUUUUGCUUCCAUUCAUUAAAUCAGGCAGUCCUUCAAUGACUGUUUAUUGUAUGCCUACUCAACAUGCUAUUGUGAUUCAUCAAGAAAAUUGUUUGAUCAGUAUUUAAAGCAUGCUCAUGACUGUGGGAAAUAAUUAAAUAAAUUUCAUGUAAACUUAAGAAUCUAUAUGUUUGUUCCACAUUUGUAUCUGUCUUGUGGGUGCAUUUUAUAUUACUUUGAGGACUAUCUUGGAUUAAACUUGCGCCCUGCUUCAUUUCUCCUAUCUUUUCCAGUUCCAGGAAGAUCAGUAUAAAAAGGAAGCUUGAUAUUUUUUCUUCCAAUACUGGGCACAUAAGACUCUACAAACUUUUACAGAAAUUGAAGUAAUAAGUUAUUUUAAUCUACUCAGAAGUUUCUGUUUAUACAAAAAAAAAUCCAAAUAUAAACAAGAUGUUCUGUUUCAAUGAUAGUAUAAGUCAAUACAGUAAAAGUGGCAAAUACUGGAAAACCAUCAGUUGUUGUCCCACUAAGUUUAACCAUGUGGGUAUUAUGCUAACCUUGAGAGUAAAUUACUAUUAGCAUAAAAGACGAAAGAUAUUUAGCUAAGCCUGAGAGGUUUUAUUUAAAUAAUAGAUAUUUGUUAGGGAUUAUUACUGUCAGUAGAAAGGAGAACACUAGCAAAAUAAUUAUGCCUAGUCCUGAGUUCUGCCCUAUUGCAAUAAAUUUUAAUAGUAAAAAAUAGCUAGAAUAUUUAAUUCUAAAGGAUUUCAUGAAAAAUAUGAAAAUUUGUGUAAAUUUUAAAUAUAAAUGUACUCAAGUAUAUUAGCAAAGAGAGUCUGAUACAUCUGUCUUGGAUGCUAAAAAUAUUCAACAUAAUACUUUUAGUAAAUGUUAUUUAGUGCCAGUGAAAAAGUUGAUGUAGUAUAAGAUACAUUUGGUAUCAUUCUUGGCCUCAUUUUUUGGUUAGUUUUCUACAAUAAGAAAUAAAUUUAUUUUAGUGCUUCCACUGUAUUCUAUACAGGAUAUGUCAGUCUACUUAGAUCACUAAGUAUAUGGAAGCAAGUGUAAGCAUAUAUUAUUUGGCGUUAGAAGAUCAACUCUGCUUAAAAUUAUAAAAGCUGAAUAAAAAUUUUUAAAAUAUUUCUUUCUGACAAGUUCAAUGUAAUUUUUUACUUAAUUGGUGCCUUGAAUAAAGAGCUAGUGUGCAGUGACACUAUCGCUGGGAAUCUGUCAGAAUUUUUCUCAUUAACGGUAUUUUUUAAAUGACACUUUGCACUUUUACUUCAAAAAUAAUAUUUAAAUCCCUUUGGAUAAAUUGAAGCUGACCUAAAAACAUCCUCGAUAAUUUUAUUUUACCAAACAAGGUAGGAAGACAAUAUUCCCUCUUGGGAAGAACAAACAAAAGAGCUUAAAGAUAACUUUCAAUAACUUCAAAUGUCAGAGAGUUAUCCAAUUGUUUUAGUAAUAAAAAUGUGCAUAGAUCUUGAAAGGUAAGUGUACACACACACACAGUCAUACUCACACUCAGCAAGCAUACUACUUUAACUAAACUUGUAUACACAUAUGCACAUAUUCAGUGAAGGUCACACAAAGGACAGAGGGCAACAGAGAAAAGUCUCUGAAAUCCAGAGGUUUAGGACUCAACUCCUGACUACUAAAAUCUAAAGGUAGAUCCUGACAAACUGUUCAAACCUUUUGAUAAGCCAUGAUUUAUUAAUCUGCAAAAUAGGGGAUUGAACCAGAUUUGUUGGCUCCUUUCAAACCAGAAACUCUCCAAUGACUAAGUAUUUUUUGGCUUUUCCCCCUGGAUACCUCUUAUAAUAAGCAAAAUGAAAAAUGUCAAUAACCCAGCUCUUAAAAUUAAUGGUUGUCUUCCAUUUGCAAAUAGAGUGUUAGAGUUUGUUGUAUAUGAUUGCUCCUGUCAAGAAAAACCAGAUAAAGUAGCAAAAGGUAGAUGAAAGAAAAAAAACUAUGUAUCUAUUUAAAGAAAUCAGAGCAUGUUUG